UGGGGAAUUUUGGACAAUGGGCGAAAGCCUGAUCCAGCCAUGCCGCGUGCAGGAUGAAGGCCUUCGGGUUGUAAACUGCUUUUGUACGGAACGAAAAGACUCUGGUUAAUACCUGGGGUCCAUGACGGUACCGUAAGAAUAAGCACCGGCUAACUACGUGCCAGCAGCCGCGGUAAUACGUAGGGUGCAAGCGUUAAUCGGAAUUACUGGGCGUAAAGCGUGCGCAGGCGGUUAUAUAAGACAGAUGUGAAAAUCCCCGGGCUCAACCUGGGAACUGCAUUUGUGACUGUAUAGCUAGAGUACGGCAGAGGGGGAUGGAAUUCCGCGUGUAGCAGUGAAAUGCGUAGAUAUGCGGAGGAACACCGAUGGCGAAGGCAAUCCCCUGGGCCUGUACUGACGCUCAUGCACGGAAGCGUGGGGAGCAAACAGGAUUAGAUACCCUGGUAGUCCACGCCCUGAACGAUGUCAACUGGUUGUUGGGUCUUCACUGACUCAGUAACGAAGCUAACGCGUGAAGUUGACCGCCUGGGGAGUACGGCCGCAAGGUUGAAACUCAAAUGAAUUGACGGGGGUCAUAGCUGG
rnacentral:rRNA from 1 species